CACGAACGCUGGCGGCGUGCCUAAUACAUGCAAGUCGAGCGCAGGAAACUGACGGAACUCUUCGGAGGGAAGGCAGUGGAAUGAGCGGCGGACGGGUGAGUAACACGUAAGGAACCUGCCUCAAGGAUUGGGAUAACUCCGAGAAAUCGGAGCUAAUACCGGAUAGUUCAACGGACCGCAUGGUCCGCUGAUGAAAGGCGCUCCGGCGUCACCUUGAGAUGGCCUUGCGGUGCAUUAGCUAGUUGGUGGGGUAAUGGCCCACCAAGGCGACGAUGCAUAGCCGACCUGAGAGGGUGAUCGGCCACACUGGGACUGAGACACGGCCCAGACUCCUACGGGAGGCAGCAGUAGGGAAUCUUCCACAAUGGACGAAAGUCUGAUGGAGCAACGCCGCGUGAGUGAUGAAGGUUUUCGGAUCGUAAAACUCUGUUGUAAGGGAAGAACACGUACGAGAGGGAAUGCUCGUACCUUGACGGUACCUUACGAGAAAGCCACGGCUAACUACGCGCCAGCAGCCGCAGUAAUAC
rnacentral:rRNA from 1 species